rnacentral:lncRNA from 1 species
UUACCACACUAAGCAGCGGAAAUCCGCGAUCAAAACCCGACUUCAGAAGAGGUGCGGCCGGAAGAGAUGGGAAAGCAAAGGACAUUCAAGCUAUUUGUCGGCGAGAGUGCCGUCAAAUGGAAAGGGAAUCCUCCUUCCCGCUUCCACAAGAGGGUCCGGCUUAUGGGCGUUAAGAGCAUGGCCGGGUAUACUUUAUUAUUCUUCAACUUGUCAACCCCUCCUGCUUACCUUG